AUUGAACGCUGGCGGCAGGCCUAACACAUGCAAGUCGAGCGAGCGGCGGACGGGUGAGUAAUGUAUGGGGACUGCCCGAUAGAGGGGGAUAACUACUGGAAACGGUGGCUAAUACCGCAUACUAUCGGAUAACCCAUAUGGGAUUAGCUAGUAGGUGGGGUAAAGGCUCACCUAGGCGACGAUCUCUAGCUGGUCUGAGAGGAUGAUCAGCCACACUGGGACUGAGACACGGCCCAGACUCCUACGGAGGCAGCAGGUGGGAAAAUUGCACAAUGGGCGAAAGCCUGAUGCAGCAAUGCCGCGAGUAUGAAGAAGGCCUGAGGGUGGUAAAGUACUUUCAGCGAGGAGGCGUUACCAGGAGAAGAAGCACCGCCUAAUUCCGUGCCAUCAGCCGCGGUAAUUC
rnacentral:rRNA from 1 species